AUAGACAAUUGUGAUGGUAAUUAUGUGGACAUUAAUUUGGCCAACUUAGUAUGCACAAAUAGUCUCCGAAGUUAUGAAGAGUGCACUAGUCAUAUUAAUGUGGACCACAUUUUGCUACCAUUUUGCAACAAAAGUGAUCCGACACUAGAUUGUGAAUUUCGUAUGUCGAAAGCAUUAAGUAAAUGGGCCAACACUGAUCUUGUACGAC